GGCCGAGUACCCAAGUGGUCUAAGGGAACGGAUUGCAAAUCCGUCAGUCGUGGGUUCGAAUCCCACCUCGGCCU
rnacentral:tRNA from 1 species